rnacentral:rRNA from 1 species
CUGAAUAACUUAGCUGAUCGCUUCGGUCUUUGUACCGGCGACGUAUCUUUCAAGUGUCUGCCUUAUCAACUUUCGACGGUAGUUUAUGUGCCUACCGUGGUUGUAACGGGUAACGGAGAAUAAGGGUUCGACUCCGGAGAGGGAGCCUGAGAAACGGCUACCACUUCUAAGGAAGGCAGCAGGCGCGCAAAUUACCCACUCUCGGCAUGAGGAGGUAGUGACGAAAAAUAACAAGACGGUGCUCUCGUGAGUACCGUCAUUGGAAUGAGUACAAUCCAAACCCUUUAACGAGGACCUAGCGGAGGGCAAGUCUGGUGCCAGCAGCCGCGGUAAUUCCAGCUCCGCCAGUGUAUAUCUAUGCUGCUGCGGUUAAAAAG